UGGGACGCUGUGUCCUCCCUUCAAUCCCUUAUUUCCAGAAACCACGUGAAUCCAAGCUGGGUACCAGCUUCUGAGCAGAGCGCCGGCUCCUUAAUCCCUACCUGAUGCCACCCUCUGUUGUCUGAAACAGCAUAAUCCACCCUAGCAGCCAAUUUGGGGAGCCACAGGGGAGAGAAAUAAACCACCAGGAGUAGUUGUUCGGUGCUCACAAUGACAAGAAGCACAAGCUAUUUCCACCAGUAUAUAGUAGAUGCACACGUGAGAAGACUUGGAUUCAGAGGUUCAUAUAAGUCACCCAUAACAACAGGGUAUUGGUGGUUGGAAUCAAAGUUCGUGUUUUCUUCCACACUUUAGCAUUUGUCACAAGGCUGUCUGUGUGCCCCUUUGGAGUCCCUGGGGGUGCUAGAUAACAAUACCAGUUCUCCUCUGCAUUUGACCCUUCUGAAUUUUAGUUUCUGGAUGUGGGAUCUGACAAUUACCAUUUUAAUCAGCAACCACAUUGAUUUUUAAGCACCCUGAGAGUUAAGAGCUUAGUCUGUGCAUCUAGCAUCUCAUGCUCAGGCAGUACACCUGGGUAGCAGAUUUGUGGGACCAGAAGCAAGUGUGCCAUUGCCUCCCAAUUGAACACUGUCCCAGGGACACAACUGGAGUCAUGAGAGAACAGGAAAGCAGCAUCAUCUGUCACAUUUGUUGCAAUGAACUUCCUCUUGCAUUUCCUGAGGAAUGCAGGAGAGAGCAGAGAAGUUGUGGCCGAAAUAGCUACUACUGUGCACCCUUCCAUACUGCACAGACAUGGGGGCUGAGGUGGGUGUGGGUCAGUCAUGCUGACCCCAUUGUCACUGCCACACCAUUGCCAUCCAUCCUCUCUUCCCCUCUUUCAGGCUCAGAUCGUCUGUCUCCAUGUCCUUCCCUCCGUUCCAUCUGAACACUUGCUAUCCUUUUGUCCUUAUUCACGGGCUACUUCAGCACCUGGACAACACUGUCCAGAUCAGCACCUUCUGAUUAACUGGCAAUAUUCUUGCCUUGUGUCCCUUGACUGCAUCUUUCACAGUGGUGGUUUCAUUGUCUCCACUGCAGCUAUCCACUGCUGUCCUCAUCCCCUGACCCUAAUUAACAGAAACUGUGUCAUAUCUGAAAUCUCUAACAGAAAGAGGUAAUUUCCCCAAGGUAACUCUUGGUUCACCCAGAUCUUCUGUUUAGCUUCCUCUAUGGAGAUACUUCAUCAGCUGACAUGACCUAUCAACAUCUCUCCUUCUCUACCAUUUAGCCUCUCCUUUAUUGGAUCUGUGUACACCAGCUUGUAACACCUGCUCCAUGGAUGCAAGCAAGUACUCUCUUGCAAAUGUGUUCAUCUCUUGCCAAUCCAGGAAGAACUCAGUCACCUGCAAUGCUUCAUCUCACAUCUGUCCUAAAACUAGGUGCUGCUGAUAAACCCCAUUCCCUCAAUUCAUAUUCUUGGACUGGCUAGAACUAUGAAUGCAUAAUUUUUAAACAAGUGUCCCAGAGGAUUGUCAUUGAGCAAAAAAUAAAAAGUUCUGUUUCUCUCCUCAGGUUUUCCCCCACUGUCCUAUUCAGGGAUGACUCAUUUGCUUGUGUCCUGGUGACUAGGGAUUGUGUUACACUGCCAUCUCCAUUCUAUCUGACAUCUUAAUCUUCAUUAUAUCUGUGACAACAUACAAGCUUGCUCAAUUUUUCCCACCAUUGGGGAAAAAAUGAGUUAGAAAGACAAAAACCAGGCAUAAACUAUGGAAUAUCAGCCUUCAUUUUGCUCAUUUCUAUUAUCAAACUUCUCAAAAACAUUUUAUACCAGGCAUUCCAUGCCCACGCCUGCCAAUUGCAUUGUAAUCUGCUAAAGCUGGAUUCUGCUCUGGCGCCAAAAUGUUUUUACUCAAGUGAUUGGUGCUCCCCAUCCUUAGAUCAAAAUAUUCUGCUUAUUUUAUAUUGGCCAUGCCUCAGUUUUCUGUAUCUAUAGUAUAGAAUCUAUCCCGGAGAUGCAGCAUACUCCAUGGAUGCAAUCAUAGAAAAAAGAAAUAAGUCCCUAUUGUGUGUGAGCUGUGAGAUCUUAUGACUGUGUUCCACACGUCACAUUCUAGGAUGUAGACUGAUGGACAGCACCUGUCUAUAUUAUGCUCUAGAAUAUACCAUGCUUACAGUUGAGCAAAAGUUCUUGUGCUUUCUAUUGGGCAGAGGAUAAAUGUGCUCACUUCAUAUUUAAAGUAAAGUUCUGUAGCCAACAGAGUGGGGCUGCACCCCUGUCACCGAAUGAGAGGAACAGUACACUGCCAGUCAUGUAAUAGUGAAGAAUAACUUUGUUACAGAAAAAGAGUAGACAGAUGAUUAUGGCAACACUUCAUGCUCCACACUGAUUCCCACUCUUUGACCCUUCCCUGUCAAACUCAGCCUGCAUUCUGGCCUCUCUGAUCACUAGAUCUGUGUGACUUUGACAUCAACUUCCUCAGACAGACCUUUGCUCAGCCUCAUACACUUGAUUAUCAGCCAUUUCCAUCUUCCUGGUAUUCUUCCUGCAUACCUAUUGCUUAUCUUACCUCAUCUUACGUUCAUGAUGAAAAAAUAAGAGAAAAUCCAUCAAGUCCACUGUGACAUGAGAACUCUGGGAGUCCUCAAUACUGUAUUCUUCUUCCUCCCACCCCUUGAAUUCACAGGGUGUGUGUUAGAGUGGCUAUUAAAAUUUGUGCUCUUCUCUUUGUACAUCUCCCAAUGUGAAUGUAUUCAUUUCUGUGGGUAAACAGAUCCUUGGUUAUACAAAAAGUUUCAAGCCAUCUCAUUUGAGUUCCAUCAAUUUUCUUACUAGACAUUUUCAAAUAUUAACUCACAGUCUGCUCUCUUACUCUCCUUCAUUCACAGCAAACAAAGAAGAGGUCUCCCAACCCCCACGAGAUACAUCUCAUGCUUCUCCCCUUGUGCCCACUUGUGGCAAUGUUAUAACCUUAUCGUAUUCCACUUAAUACCACUUACUAAGGAUGCUCUAAUGACUGGUGUAUGAAAAAGACAAAAUAAAUUAUGUGACUUUAUUUUCCCAAAGACAACUGGGGUUACAUAUGUGUCAAAUAGAACAUAAUAGAUAGGGAUUUAUUCCUCCAUUAGCUUUUUAGGUUUGCUUAUCUUUCAGAGUAAUUUAAAUUGAAUUGGAAGACAAAUCCUUAUUUGAUUGUUAGGCAAUUCAGUGCUAUUUAUUUUGUGUAAGUUGGUGUGGGAUCUAAGUGCACUGUUGUUAAAAGGCUAUUUAAUGUCACAUAGAGGGCCUAUUAAUUUUUCCAAUAAAUUGCCGGCAUGCCCAGCCACUUGCAUACAUUUAA